AGCGAACGCUGGCGGCAGGCUUAACACAUGCAAGUCGAGCGCCCCGCAAGGGGAGCGGCAGACGGGAUAGUAACACGUGGGAACGUACCUUUCAGUUCGGAACAACCAAGGGAAACUUUGGCUAAUACCGGAUACGCCCGUAAGGGGAAAGAUUUAUCGCUGAAAGAUUGGCCCGCGUCUGAUUAGCUAGUUGGUGAGGUAAUGGCUCACCAAGGCUACGAUCAGUAGCUGAUCUGAGAGGAUGAUCAGCCACAUUGGGACUGAGACACGGCCCAAACUCCUACGGGAGGCAGCAGUGGGGAAUAUUGGACAAUGGGCGCAAGCCUGAUCCAGCCAUGCCGCGUGAGUGAUGACGGCCUUCGGGUUGUAAAGCUCUUCUGUCCGGGAAGAUAAUGACUGUACCGGAAGAAUAAGCCCCGGCAAACUUCGUGCCAGCCGCCGCGGUAA
rnacentral:rRNA from 1 species